GUCGGGGCAUUUUCACGACUGUUCCAUUCCAAAAAGGAGACUUUCUUUUGGAAUACAGAGGUAAACUCAUAACAAAAGAAGAAUGUGAGCGGAGACACAGAGUUUAUCAUGACAGCCUGAAGGUGUUCAUGUUUGAAUUCAAGUUUGAUGGAAAACUCUGGUGUGUGGAUGCAUCUCAAGAAGAUGGGUCAUUAGGCAGACUUGUCAACGACAACCACAUCAGUCCAAGUGCUAAGAUGAAAAUAUUAAAUAUCAAUGGAAAGCCCCAUCUAUGCUUAUUUGCAAGCAGAGACAUAAGUCCAGGCGAAGAAAUAGACUAUAAUUAUGGUGACUCGGAUUGGCUCUGGAGAUGCAAGACGGAGACCAGCCAGAUUCAGAAGACUGUGAGCUGCCUAAAGCCGCAACCAAACAGCUUUCCAAACAAUGAUCUGGACCUGAAACAUCCAGAGCCUGAAAGGGAUCUUGAUGAAGAAAUGCCUCAGCAAGGCUCAGAAGCCAUGCAUUCUUCUUCAGUGCAAGAUUUUGAAGAGACUGAGACCAGCCAGAUUCAGAAGACUGUGAGCUGCCUAAAGCCGCAACCAAACAGCUUUCCAAACAAUGAUCUGGACCUGAAACAUCCAGAGCCUGAAAGGGAUCUUGAUGAAGAAAUGCCUCAGCAAGGCUCAGAAGCCAUGCAUUCUUCUUCAGUGCAAGAUUUUGAAGAGACUGAGACCAGCCAGAUUCAGAAGACUGUGAGCUGCCUAAAGCCGCAACCAAACAGCUUUCCAAACAAUGAUCUGGACCUGAAACAUCCAGAGCCUGAAAGGUGUCACAAUCAUCGUCUGGUGUGCACAACAAUAUCAUCUUUGGACAAGUGCAUUCAGUGUGUGGGACUGGUUUCCUCCCUCAAGUGGCUUGGCUAUAAGUGCAAAGAUGAAAUUGCAUUAAGUGAUGCUGAAACAAAGGACAGUGAGAGUGAAUCAGAUGAUGAUGACACAUCACUCACAAUGUCGGCGUGUGGCACCAGUGAGCCUGUACAUGCAGUAGCUGAUUCCACAAACACAGCGCAGCCCCAAGACACUGUAGAUUGUGCAGAUGAAGGACUACUCACAAUGCCUGCAGCAAGUGAGACUGCUGCUCCCUCUGAAGGUAAGGGGUGCAGUUGGUUCUCGAAGCUUAUUAUUGUUUCAUCACUUUGCAACAUAUGGCAAACUGCAGAGUGGUGGCAAAAAGUCACUUGGAUGAGUGACAAAAUGUUUCUCCCACUGAAAACGCUACGUCCAGAUUAACAGAAUCAACGUUUUGGGAUUUACUUACCUGGAUGAUUGAGCAUGCAUCAAGAGACUUUUAUUCAACUUUUUAUUCAGUCUUUUAUUCACAGCGGAACACUAAAUGUUGUCUCAUUUUAGAAAUUUGAUAAAUUUUCAAACAGAAUUUUAGCUCGUUUUGAUAUUGAUGGUAGCAACACAUUUCAGAAGUUAGUACAGGGUAGCAUCCAUUCUUUUAACAAGCAAAUGUUUUUUGUUUUUUUUUGUUUGGUUUUUUGUUUGUUUUAACUACUACUACUUUAUAUAUCUUCCAGAGAAAAAUGCUGCUCAAUCCCACAAUUCCCGAAGAGCUCCCAAAAACAUGUGGUCCAAGGCUGAGGUUGCUGCAGUGAUGAGGCAUUUGAAAGACCACAUAAACGAAGGGAAACUAGCCACCAAAAAUGAAUGCAGUCAUUGCAAAUUGGUAGAAGAUCCGGUGUUGGCAGGAAGAACAGUUCAAAACAUAAGAGAUUUUGUAAGAAACAGAGGAUUAACUGCAAAAAGGCAGAAAAAAAUGAACUAAAAUAACUGUUUAGAGAGCUGUGGUUUUACAUCUUGGUCAGAUUGCCAAUUGUUGUUAACACUGAUGUUCUGUUUAAAGAAAAAAAAGUUCUUGUUAAAUACAGAAGUAGUUUGUAUUUCAUAAUUUUUACAUUUAAUUUAUUUAGGGUUUUUUUUGACGGGUUAUAUUUAAAAUAAAAAAUUAUAAAUGCAUAUUUUCUCCCCUUAAUAUUUACCUUUAAACUAUUAAAAUUCAUUUUAAAUGUUUUUAAUUUUUCUGUUUUCUAUAUUUUUAUAUUUCUGUGGGAAGCGUGGGCAUUUUUGUCCAUAGAUUUCUUUUUUUAUUUAUGGUUAAAAUUAAUGUUCAGAUCCAAGAACACUAAUAAAAUGAUGUUCCAGUAAUCCUGUGUCCUGUCAGAUGUGUAUUCAUGGUAAUGAUGAGCUAUUUAAAUAUUACAUCAUUGUCCCUUUAAAGACCCAAUAUUGCUUUUUUUGGACCUCAUAAAACACAUUGUUGUCAAGUGGACAAUGUCUCCAGAAAACACAAUAGAGUCUGGUUGGUGUGUAUCAGUGUAUCUAGACUUCUAUAGGGAGUGUAUGAGGUCUGAAGUGACCCAAAUUUUUUUCAGAUUUUUUCGAACACUUUAACCUCGCUCCCUUGGCUCUAAGUCCUUUCAAAAGGGUAGUCCACUUAAACCACCACCGGGCGGAUUGACGUAGUAUAGUCCCGCCAUACCACAUAGACCCGUAUGUGUGUGUGUGUGUGUGUGUGUGACAGAGUUCAGUGAGACCAUGGAGGAGAAGAGGGGAGAGGGGGCAGAAUCGGGAGGGAGUUAAGCUUCCUGACAGCCUGAUGGAUGAAGCUGUCCUUCAGUCUGCUGGUCCUGGCCUGGAGACUCCGCAGUCUCCUCCCCGACGGCAGCAGCUUGAAGAAGCU
ensembl:lncRNA